rnacentral:rRNA from 1 species
GACGAACGCUGGCGGCGUGCCUAAUACAUGCAAGUUGAGCGAUGAAGAUUGGUGCUUGCACCAAUUUGAAGAGCAGCGAGCGGGUGAGUAACGCGUGGGGAAUCUGCCUUUGAGCGGGGGACAACAUUUGGAAACGAAUGCUAAUACCGCAUAACAACUUUAAACAUAAGUUUUAAGUUUGAAAGAUGCAAUUGCAUCACUCAAAGAUGAUCCCGCGUUGUAUUAGCUAGUUGGUGAGGUAAAGGCUCACCAAGGCGAUGUUACAUAGCCGACCUGAGAGGGUGAUCGGCCACAUUGGGACUGAGACACGGCCCAAACUCCUACGGGAGGCAGCAGUAGGGAAUCUUCGGCAAUGGACGAAAGUCUGACCGAGCAACGCCGCGUGAGUGAAGAAGGGUGUCGGAUCGUAAAACUCUGUUGGUAGAGAAGAACGUUGGUGAGAGUGGAAAGCUCAUCAAGUGACGGUAACUACCCAGAAAGGGACGGCUAACUACGUG